rnacentral:rRNA from 1 species
UACGUAGGGUGCAAGCGUUGUCCGGAAUUAUUGGGCGUAAAGAGCUCGUAGGCGGUUUGUCGCGUCUGCUGUGAAAACCCAGGGCUUAACCCUGGGCCUGCAGUGGGUACGGGCAAACUAGAGUGCGGUAGGGGAGAUCGGAAUUCCUGGUGUAGCGGUGAAAUGCGCAGAUAUCAGGAGGAACACCAGAGCGAAGGCAG